rnacentral:sRNA from 1 species
GUCCACAAGUUUGUGUUGCUGUUGGUCGUUGAAGUUCAUGGUUCAAGUGGCUCACUAUAGUGUUUAUUUUAUUGUUAAUUAGUUAUAAAUAAAUUAUGUUUGUGUUGCUUUUUUGUAGGAUUCUAGCUAGGCGUUAAGUGACGCUUCGGUCUUCGUCGCAUCCGGAAGUGUGUUCGAGGUUCUAUGAGUUUCUAUGAAUGCUCUUUGCUUACCGGGUUCUGAUAUCUUUGGUUCUCGAGAGAUUGGUUUUCAACUUUGAUAGGAGGUAAUAGAUAUUAUUUCUGGUUUGGCCGUGGGCAGCCGUGAUAAGUCGCAUUUGCUGGUCUUUCAAAAGAAGAAGAGGUUUCUCUGUUCUCUUAGUUCUAUCAUUUUUCUUAAGGUUUUUGUCUUGUCGCCUCUGCUUUUAGUUUUAGGAGUCGUCCUCUUUCGAUUGUGUUUUGAUCAUUUCUGCAUUGUAUUUCCAGUUUCGUUUUACCCUGGUUCCCUUAGAUAGGGCUUUGUUUUCCGGGGAAUUUCUUUUUUUCUCCGGCAAUGUCUUCAGAGACUUUUAGUUGUCUGCCGACUUGAGUUUCCCUUGUUUGGGCAUAUGUAUUCCUCCUCUGGUUCCACAAUAAGCUUUUAUAAUAAAAUUUCAAGUGACAAAAAAAAAGUUAUAUUUAAUAUUUUGGUGAUUUUCUUUUUCUAUACUAAAACCAAUAAAAA